rnacentral:lncRNA from 1 species
GAAAGGCACAGAUGAAAGAGGGCCCUGGCUCACUGCCCACAAGAAGAAUUUGGAUUACAACACAGGAUGACUCCACUUCAUAGCCAUGUGACAAAGGCCACUCUUCACCAGGAACAUUUCAGGAGCAGAUGGCAUCUUAUCUACCGGACAAAGCAGCCAUCAGGACCUCUCUGUUGGAAUGCCAACUGUCUUCUUUCUGAUGUGACUUUUCUUUCCAUGCCUUCAUGGAUAUAAAUGUGCCCUGACCUUGGGCCUCUGUCUCCUACCAUGUACAGGGGACAGACCCAUCUGCAAGCACCUGACACUGGGGAAGAGUCUUAUAAGGGUGGCAAUUUUACAAAGCUGGGGCGGUUUGCUGGGGUCUAUAAGCAAUUUGAAGGUAUUGCCCUCCCCCAUGCCUAGAGGGGUGAUAGGAAGAGCCCAGGGUUUGCAAACAACUUGACAAAGAAGAAGCAGAUGAAAUAAAAUCAAUGCCAGCCAGCCCUGCAGGCUUACCACUCUGAAAUUGCUAUUCCUAUCCCACACGGAGCUUCUGCCAGGCCAGCAUAUUCUACUCGGGGUCAGGGCUAUGAGUGUCUUAUUUUUGCUGUCUUUACCUUUGGCUUUCCCUCUUAAAAACUGAUAUUUCCACUUCUAGUCAUCCUGGUCCGUAAAGACCAUCUCUGCUAGCUUGGUAUCUAUUGAGGUCAUUCACAAGUUGCCUUCAUUACAGUGGGUACACAUUUUUAUUAAAAAAGCAUGAAGUCCAGCACUCUGUAAGCCUACAGUUUUCUCACCCAUCUCCUGGGCACAAACAGUACCCAGGGAUUUUACAAAUGAACAUUCCCCUGGGAAUCUUCAGUAAACUGUGAGAAAUUAACACAGGGGAGCAAGCAAGCCCAUGGACCCAUGGCUUCCCCAGGAUCAUGGCUGUUAUAUGAGAAAAGACAGCUUUUCUGAGGGAUGGUGUGGGAUGUGUGAGGACUCUGCUUUCAUGACCUGCUACCAUUCCUUUCUUUGUUUGUAGUGGGGAACGCUGGGGCUGAAUAGGGGUCUUGUAGCCAGAGCUGGAUUGAGAAGGAAGUGUGUCAGGUCCAAAGAUAUGCCUGUGUGUCCUGCCAAUGUGCCCUCUGCUUUGUUCUCAUCUCUCUUGGCUUGGUCCCUCCUCCCUCUUCUCUCAUGCCUCUGUCUCACUCCCCUCCCUAUGUCUCCCCUCUCUUCUCUUCUCUCCACACUUACUUCUAGAGUCUAAACACCUGUAAUUCCUUCUCCCCAUUCUCGCUCAUUUGGUUGCUGUGACCUUCCCAACCAUCUGUAUAAAGACAGCACUCUUAUUCCAUGGCCUAUUAUCUUGGUUCAUCUUUAUCGGUGCCACUAAAUCAUUUAUGCAUAUUAAAUGAAAUAAAUUUAAAAUUAAACAAGAACGCCAAGUUCUGCUCCAAGCACUGUUUUUUACUAAAGAUGAACCCAGCACCAAGAAGUAAAAAUAAUCCCCUGUCCCAAGACGAGGGAAUUUACACCGAUAGAUGUG